AGUGAACGCUGGCGGUAGGCCUAACACAUGCAAGUCGAACGGCAGCACAGAGGAGCUUGCUCCUUGGGUGGCGAGUGGCGGACGGGUGAGGAAUACAUCGGAAUCUACUUUUUCGUGGGGGAUAACGUAGGGAAGCUUACGCUAAUACCGCAUACGACCUACGGGUGAAAGCAGGGGACCUUCGGGCCUUGCGCGAUUGAAUGAGCCGAUGUCGGAUUAGCUAGUUGGCGGGGUAAAGGCCCACCAAGGCGACGAUCCGUAGCUGGUCUGAGGGGAUGAUCAGCAACACUAGAACUGAGACACGGUCCAGACUCCUACGGGAGGCUGCAGUGGGGAAUAUUGGACAAUGGGCGCAAGCCUGUUCCAGCCAUACCGAGUGGGUGAAGAAGGCCUUCGGGUUGUAAAGCCCUUUUGUUGGGAAAGAAAUCCAGCCGGCUAAUACCUGGUUGGGAUGACGGUACCCAAAGAAUAAGCACCGGCUAACUUCGUGCCAGCCGCCGCCGUAA
rnacentral:rRNA from 1 species